GUGUAGCUCAGCUGGAUAGAGCGUCUGGCUACGGACCAGAAGGUCGUGGGUUCGAAUCCUGUCACG
rnacentral:tRNA from 3 species